UCAACAUAUAAUCUUGAUUCAAAUACCGGAGUCCAGCUAUAGUGCUUGUAAAUGCACCGAAAACUUGAUGCUCGUAAGUUUUUUACCGUCAGAUCCAUCCGCUUGAUCAUCUCCAUCCGUUAGAUUAUACUAUUCAACGAAUCACCCACUUAAUUCUAGAAAACUAUUAUUAUCCUAACCGCACAUUCCUUAAUCCAAGAGCCGAAAAGACCUAUAAGCACCAAUUACUUGAUACUUUUAAAAGUAUAAGAGCUCAAUUCCAAAUACAAAUAAUCCCUUAACAUAUCGCAUGUUGCACUAUAUAUACCUUCUAAAUAUAAAAAAUAUGUACUUAACCUCUCUCAAACUAUCAAAAAUUUCUUAUCAGAUUACAGUAUUACACA
rnacentral:lncRNA from 1 species